rnacentral:lncRNA from 1 species
ACAGAUUGGGAUUAGACAUCUUAGAGUGCAACAGACAGAUCGGAUUAAUUCACAUAAGGAAACAACCAAAAGGAUUUUCAACUAACACCAGAAACAGAAGUGUAGUUGUUCCAUAGAUCAUGUAGGCCGGACAUGCUAGAAAUAUAAGAAAAGGGGUAAAAGUUAAUAUAAAUUGUAUUUGGAUAUUAAAUUAUAAAUCAACAUAUUUCUUAAUUAGGAGGUAGAAUCUAUCGGAACGAAUUUUUUCAUUUACGAUUUCAUACAAAACCAGCUGUCGUUUUGACGCAAAUGCAAUGCCAAUAGUCCAAACAACAUGAACAGCAUUGUGAAUAAUUACAAAACCAACUAUAGAUUUCAUCAGAUGGGUUUUACAAAGUUUGUUUACACUAUUAUCUUUUGCUUAAAAAAAUUAUUGAUGGGCAUUAAUCAUAAAUAUUCUAUACCUUGAUUUUCAGUCCUAUGCAAUAGAAUUGAAAUUACUUUUCAAUCCUUUGAUUAUCUGCCUUCUCUGCUGUGUAAAAAAUGAGAAAAUAAACAAUCCAACCUUUCAUUUACACUCCCUACUUUCUACCUUCCAUUUUCCACAUUCAAGUAAAGGUCUAAGAUAAAAUCCAAAACUGGAAGGUAGAAGUUUCAUUCAAAGCAAGCAACGGUGAAAAUUAGAACCAUAAGAGUCAAAGAUUCGACCAAAAAUUUUUCCAAUACCAUGAUAAGAUUAAUCGAUAAGGAGGACAGAGUGCAUUGGGGCAUAUCGCCCAACAAUAAAAAGCAAAAAUAUAAGGCCUCUGAGUAAAACAGAGUGUGUUUGGUCAUUGUUACCAUAAUAAAAAAUAAAAACUAUAUGAUAGACUACAUACACAAAAAUUAAUAUUAGGCCCAAAAUGUUCUGCAAGUUUAUUCUCACAGAUAGGUGGGGAUUAACACCUAUUGCAGGAAAGUUAGUAAGAAAGAAAAUAGAUUUGUGGGGAUUUGCCAAACAAUAUGGUUAGUCGUGGGGAGGAAGGGGUAUGGAAUUUGUUUCACCUUUUCAGCUAAGCUCGGGACUAGAUGUUUUCUCUUUGGCUGAAAGCUUUGAUCUUGAUUUAGUUUAUUUUCUUUUAAUUAAUUUUCUCAGUAGUCAACAAUGAUUUAAAUCUCCUUGACUUUUCCUAUCAAAUACAAAUAUAUUUAUUAUAACAAAACUGUUCAUUUAUUUAUACAUCAAGAGCAAAUAAGGAGGCUAGACUUUAGCAAGGGAGGCAAAAGCAAACAUAAAAACCUAGAGUGAAGCUUAAUAUUUCCGUCCCAUUUUCCCACAUCUUUCCUCAUCUUUGUUAGCACCAAGUUAUCCAUUUUUUUCCAGGCCCUGAUGCCAAUGAAAUUGCAUCCGAGGUAUAAAGCAUUGAUUUUAAAAAAAAAUGACGACCUCAUCACUGCCAAUGGGGCAAUUCGAGUGUGUAUAAUUCACCGAUGACACCAGAUUAACAUAGAAAGAGGAUCUUAAUAGCAAAGUCAUGGCAGUUGUUUGAGAGAUAAAAGGUUUAGCUCGUGAGAAAAUAGGUUUAUUUGUAAGGUUUAGCUCAUGAGAAGAUAGGUUUGUUUGUAAUGUUGUUUGAUACUUUUUGGUCACAACUAUAUUUUCCUUGUAUUACAUCAAGCCCAAUCUAAGCAUUGUAUAACAUUUUUACAACAUCUAGGAUUCGAUGCAUCUCGUACAGUUUUUAGGACACUCAACAAUUGGCCACUUAAAUUUAAGUCAAAGCUACAAGUGUAUUGCAUUGCUUAUCUCCAAUUCUUUUCUUGAUGUAGAUAGGACACUAAUGAGUCUGGUAAAACUUAAUAGAUAAAGUGACACGUUAUUUUUUAUCAUUGAACUAGCCGGUGGUUUAUUCUGCAAUCUUGGAAUAUAUUGGAAGCUUCUGCCUUCAAAACUAUCCAAUAUCAAAUUUGAUUAAAGAGUUAAAUGUUCAAUAUUGCUCUUGUGGAAAGAUCAAAUGCCAUUUGAAUCAUUUAUAUCAGCUACUUUGACUGAACUUGGUAACACCUCCACGCAUUGAUCACAUAAAAUUA